UUCUUCAACAGCACAUAUUCCCUAAAAUUGAAACAAUAUAGAGAAGAUUAAGACGACCUCUGUAUGAAGACGAUAUCUUAAUUCAUGAAACAUUUCGUAUUUUU